AACUUUCAACAACGGAUCUCUUGGUUCUGGCAUCGAUGAAAGAACGCAGCGAAAAUGCGAUAAGUAGUGUGAAUUGCAGAAUUCAGUGAAUCAUCGAAUCUUUGAACGCACAUUGCGCCCCUUGGUAUUCCAUGGGGCAUGCCUGUUCGAGCGUCA
rnacentral:rRNA from 1 species